GAUGAACGCUGGCGGCGUGCCUAAUACAUGCAAGUCGAGCGAACAGACGAGGAGCUUGCUCCUCUGACGUUAGCGGCGGACGGGUGAGUAACACGUGGAUAACCUACCUAUAAGACUGGGAUAACUUCGGGAAACCGGAGCUAAUACCGGAUAAUAUAUUGAACCGCAGGGUUCAAUAGUGAAAGACGGUUUUGCUGUCACUUAUAGAUGGAUCCGCGCCGCAUUAGCUAGUUGGUAAGGUAACGGCUUACCAAGGCAACGAUGCGUAGCCGACCUGAGAGGGUGAUCGGCCACACUGGAACUGAGACACGGUCCAGACUCCUACGGGAGGCAGCAGUGGGGAAUCUUCCGCAAUGGGCGCAAGCCUGACGGAGCAACGCCGCGUGAGUGAUGAAGGUCUUCGGAUCGUAAAACUCUGUUAUUAGGGAAGAACAAAUGUGUAAGUAACUAUGCACGUCUUGACGGUACCUAAUCAGAAAGCCACGGCUAACUACGUG
rnacentral:rRNA from 1 species